UACGUAGGUGGCAAGCGUUGUCCGGAAUUAUUGGGCGUAAAGCGCGCGCAGGCGGUUCCUUAAGUCUGAUGUGAAAGCCCCCGGCUCAACCGGGGAGGGUCAUUGGAAACUGGGGAACUUGAGUGCAGGAGAGGAAAGCGGAAUUCCACGUGUAGCGGUGAAAUGCGUAGAUAUGUGGAGGAACACCAGUGGCGAAGGCGGCUUUCUGGUCUGUAACUGACGCUAAGGCGCGAAAGCGUGGGGAGCAAACAGG
rnacentral:rRNA from 1 species